UACAGAGGUCCCAAGCGUUGUUCGGAUUCACUGGGCGUAAAGGGUGCGUAGGCGGUCGGAUAAGUCUGACGUGAAAUCUCCGGGCCUAACCCGGAAACUGCGUUGGAAACUAUCUGGCUAGAGGAAUGGAGGGGAGACUGGAAUACUUGGUGUAGCAGUGAAAUGCGUAGAUAUCAAGUGGAACACCAGUGGCGAAGGCGAGUCUCUGGACAUUUCCUGACGCUGAGGCGCGAAAGCUAGGGGAGCAAACAGG
rnacentral:rRNA from 1 species